AAAAAAAAUCAUCAUACUCUAAUAAGCUGACGCUGCGCCUGAAGCUGUGUCAGCAGACUUUUUUUUUAUUUUUGCCAACAAUUUGAUGUCUAAUUGCAAAAGCAAACGUUCAUGGUUCAUCUCUGGAGGAACCGUGUGUUCACCGAUUGCCGGAAAAGAUAUGGAGAAAGUGGAAUACGGAGAAAAACACUGAAAAAACUCCCAGGGAGGAGAGAGUCUGCCUGCAGCGUCCGCUUCACUCUGCAUGGGCCACCAUCCUUCACUGGAUCACCUUUACCAUGGUGUCCCCGUCCAGACUUGUGUCCUCCUCUUUCUUCUCCUCCUCCUCCUCCUCUUCUUCGUCACCUCUUGGACCCUGGACUCUUCUCCACCUAAAAUGCUUUGCUAAAGCUGGUAAAAUGGAACCAAAUCAACUGUUCAAUGGAUUUGGUCCCCUUCAACCAGCUGUAGCUGUGCAUUGAUCACACGACCGCGCACGAGUGCAAGUGCUGAGGGACGAGGGACGAGGGACGAGCCAAAGGACAGAGAAAACGCUGGGACUGGAAGAGCAGAGCUCAUUGACUGGGAACCACUUUUCUUUUUUUCUUCUUUUAAAUCUGAAAGUGAAGCUGCACAAUUGAGCCGUGGAAAGAAACAGAACAUGCAUCAGUUGCUUCACCUUUGUGGAUUUGUCGCUAUCAUACACACACACACACACACACACACACAUUACCCAAAAUGACUAGAGCUAUAUAAAGAAAUCCAGGUAAGUAAUUAUAGAUAGUGUCUCUUGGUGACUUUCUGGAUUAGAUGUGUACUGAUGUAAUUGUUCUGUGAAAACCUUGUAUAUGUUUGUGUGUGUGUGUGUGUGUGUGUGUGUCCUAUUGCACAUGUCUAAUCAAUAAAGUUUCAUCAUGACGUUGUUAGAAAGUGCUGAGGUGGUCUUUGCUUUGAAGCGUGGUCUUCGGGGAGUUCCCCGGCGAUGUACACGGCUCACUGGUGUAUACAUAAGUAAAUGUACAGCAUUAAUGCAAAUGAUGGCAAAGUUUAAUCAGGAGCAGCGCGUUCUGCAUUGUGUACUCUGCUGCCAACCUUCCUUACUAUUCAUCUUGAUGGAUUUAUUUACUGAUUGAAGAGCACAUUGCUCACCAAACAUUCAUUUUAUUCUAGUUGGUCCAAAAACACUUAACAAAUAGAUACUUUAUUCAGCCCUGAAGGGAAAAUGCCUGUGUUGUCCUCAUUGUGACAGAUUAAGAACAUUUACACCAAAUAAAAUGUCUUAUGGUGACAGAAUGGAAUGAUUGUUUAAGUUUGCUGCCUGUAUGUCUGAAGGCUUGGAGGAAUAAAACAUCACUUUAGUCUAUUCUGA